GUCUUGUUCUGUCGCCCAGGCUGGAGUGUAGUGGCUCGACUGGCUCACUGCAACCUUCGUCUCCUGAGCUCAAGUGAUCCUCCUACCUCAGCCUCUUGAGUAGCUGGGACUACAGGUUUUCUCUCUACACUUCUCCCUAGUCUGAGAAGCUGACCAGUAUGGACUGUGCCUUCAGGCUUUCUUGCCCUCUGGCUUUUGGUUGAAUUUGGCCAAUGGGAAGCCCCAGCAGGAAAUCAGAAAGAGAGGCGAGAGAGGAUUCUCUGAGUAUUGAUUCCCCUGGCUUCCUCCCUGUGUGAUCACUUUGGCUGGCUGGAUACCUCAAUGGAAAGACACUGUUCUUCUGGAGGAGGCCUUCUCUGUAGACUCUUUCCUUCCAGUUUCAGCAACCUUGAUCUGCUCCUUCUGACUCCUUCACAUCUAGGGGUGGUAACAGCUCUGUUGUCACUAGCCAAGUGUCACUGCACUAUUCUCUGUGAUUCCCCCACAUCCCACCCAUGCUUUUGUAAAUAGUCUCUUUAUACAUAAACGCUCCUCGAAUUAUUCUGAGAAUACUGUUUCCUGCUGAGUCAUCGGACCAAAUUAUUUCUCCUUUGAGACAAUGGAGAAAUUUU
rnacentral:lncRNA from 1 species